UAGUUUCCCUAAUCUUAAAUCCCUAGGCAUGAGGUCCCUUCAUAUAGAUGUUAAGUUGUAUUGUGCCUUUACUGUGGAUUCUGCACUGCUUUCGUUGCCCGUAGUUGUGGUUAGAUUUUUACAUGUUAGGACUGAAGAAGCCGUUCGUUUUCAUUUUCUCACUCCAGGCCCUUUAUCCUGUCAUUGAAAUGAGGCUUGCUGCUUGUCAACGAAAUGGAGAUGCGGCAGAACCAACAGGGGUUGACGGUAAUAUCCUGCAGUGUGAUAUAAACUGCAACUGCUGAGAAAACUCAACAGGUCUGGCAGCAUCUGUGCAGAAAAAUCUGAGUUAAUGUUUCAGGCCCAGUGACCCGUCUUCAGAACCCACUGCACCGCAUUUCUGCGUUAAUUUUUUGAAAAAAAACACAGUGGGUCAUUCUUAGAUACUUGGCAAUGGACUGUUACUUUCAGUUUCUCUUAGAGCAGGUCUAAGCACCUGAACUGUGUGCCAUGACUCAAUGGAUGGCACUCAAUUCUUGGUCUGAUGUAGGCUCAACAUCCAUUCCAGUAAGUUAAGUACAUAAUAUCGGCAGAUAUUCCUAAUACAGCCCAAGGAAGGAUGAGAUUUUAAACCUGUCUACACUCUCAGCUGGGCUACAUUGCAAAAAUCUUGAGCCUUGCAGUGCUCUACCUAAGUAUGACCCUUCACAGAUGAAUACUUGGACAGGAAAAGCUGGCAAUCUAUUUCCUUACAUAACACAUAUCAGCCCAAUUGCAUCCAGUAUAAAGGUGCGAACCAGAAACUGGCAUGGACCACUCGGCAUCAAGAAUAGAAAUUUUUAUUUUUGCUGUCUAUCAUUGCAGAAAAUUGUUUACAAUCUCAACCCCUGUCAACCACAACCCUAACCCAGCCCAUCUGAGUGAGCCGAAUACAUCACAAACUAAGGAGCAAACGUGGUUGGGUUUCUCUUGUCAUUUCGGUCUAAUAUUAUUCCCUUGUAUCCAACGUGCAGUGAAUUGUUAGUGUCUGAAAUGUACUGCCUCAGUGUGUGGCAGAGAUGGGUUAGGUGCUGUGGCAUUCCAAAGGGAGUGAGAUUGUUAUCUGAAUGUGCUGGGUUAUGGAGUUUGCUUGCAGUGGGAGGCUGGAGGAUGACAUAAAGUAAAUUGCUCAUUCAGAAAGCAAGUGGAGGGAAAAAAUGGGCUUUCUCGGCACUAUAAUAUUUCUAUGAUUCUGUGAACAGAGUCAAAUUUCAAGAUACAGAUGAUAUUAGGUAUCAAAGAUUAAGAGGAAAUGGAAUUUACAAGUUGAUUGAAAGAAUUAACAGGGUCAAUAGAGAGAAACAAUUUCUUCUGCGGGGGGGGGGAUGGUAGCUCAGAACAAAGGGACAUAAACUGAAGUUAGAAGUUAGGGCUUUUUCGAGUGGUGUAAAACACUUCUUCACUUAGUUGGAAUCUGGAUAGGACCCACUAAGAUCACAAGGGUAAUCCCUGGUAUAGAGAGAUUGUCUCACAAACAAAGAUUAAACAGGUUGGGACUCUACUCAUUGGUGUUUAGAAGAAUGUGAGGUGAUGUCAUUGAAAUACAUAGGAUUCUUAAAACACUGGACAGGAUAAAUGCUGAGAGGAUGUUCCCACUGAUCGGAGAGUGUAGGAGCACAGUGCAUAGUCUCAGAAUAAAAGGUCUCCAAUGUAAGACUGAGAUACGGAAGAAUUUCUUCUCUCAGAGGAUUGUAAGUCUUUAGAAGUCCUUGCCACAGAGAGCUGUGGGGCAGAGUCCUUCCGUAUAUUUAAGGCUGCAGCAGAUAGGCUACUGAUCAGUAGGGAAACAAGGAAUAUGGGGAAGGGACAGGAAAGCGCCUGCGAAGGACACUGGGCCAGUCACAAUCCGACUGAAUGGCAGGCCAGGCUUUGGGAUCAAACAUCCUACUCCUGUUCCUAUUUUUUCUGGUCCUACAAUUCCACAUGACGGAAUGACCAGUUCGUAUAUUGUUGUUUAAUUGGGUGAAGGAGAUAUAUUGACCAGCGUAUUUUCUACUCAUCAAACAGAGGUUUUAAUUGGAACUUCUGGAACUGGUACAUGGGGUUUUUCUGUAUUGGCUGAGCUGAUGAUAAACGCUUUUAAAAUUUGAAAAUACAGUCUCGAUGCAAAUUCAGUGCCAUGUGGUACUUUCACUUCAAUUUCUGAAACACUCAUAUGGCCUUGUUCCUCUUAAGCCCUCUUGUUCUUCAGACCCCAGCAGCUCUCUGUUCCUCCAGCUCUGGCCUCCUGUGCAUCCUCUAUGUCUCUUCGCCACAACAUUGUAGCCUGUGCCGCCAACUGUAAAGUCUCAUCCUUCUGAAAGUUUUCUUCACACCCUCUCCCUUGUGCUUUUGUUGAAAAGGUCCUUUUCAAAGCUCACCAAUUUGACAAAUAUUUGGUCACCCCCAUUGACAUGUCCUGAAAGUGACCUCCAAUCCUCUUUGGCAGCAAGUCAGCAAAAAUCCCAGAGAAAAGGUGCAAUCAAUCACUUAUGCCACUGCUUCGGGUUUUCCACUCAUCUCCGGUCAGUGAUCGAAUCGAAGUUUGAGAGGUGCCUGUAAAAAUCUCAAACUUAAUAAAAACUGAAAGAACAGUGAUGCUGCAAAUCAGGAAAAACACAAAGUCUCUAGAAAAGCUCUGCAGGUUGGGCGGCAUCUGUGAAGGUAAAAAACAGGGUUCAUGUUUCAGGUCCGAUGACGCUUCCUCAGAACUAAAUCUCAAACUUGUUGUGUUCACACUGGUUGGGAAAUCAUGGUCUUCGAAGCUGAGAAAAGGUGAGUCUUAACUUAGUGUUUAAAAGCUUGUGGAUAAGGGGAGACAAGCUGGGUGAGGUGUGUUGUUUGGAGACACUGCAGAAAAAUGAACCAGAGUUGGCAAAAAUGCCAUGGAUGAUCUAACAUUGUGUGCUUUCUAGAAGGGUCUUGAACUUGUUUUUGUUUUUAGUUCACUUCAUUCUUGCUUUGUUCUUUUUUGUGUUUAGAUUCAGGAUCAAUUUGUGCCUGGCAAUUGAGUAAAAUUGUUGAAUGGAGAGCAAUUUUCAUUUCUGCAUUAUUUUCUACCAUUCUUUUAGGCCAAAGUAUAAUAGAAUCAUUGUGCAUAAAUUGUCAGCAUCAUACACUGAAUUUAGAAUGCAGGGCUCUUCUAUAAUUGCAUGCAAUUCUCAUUUAAUGAAUCCCUAGAGCUUCAUAAAUCACAGCAGUUAUACUUGAGGCAGAUUUAUAUAUUAAUCUGACAACGAAGGAUGCAUUAAACACUUAAUUCAAAUGUGCCUUAUAGCGCAUGUGUAUUACUCUCACUUCACAAAUAAUAUUUGGAAAUGUGAGCUUACUUUAAGCCAGAACCACCUUUUUAGUUGAUUGCAGAUUCAAAUACUAUUCCAUGAUGUUGGCAUAUUCUAAAAUGAGACACUGUGAGAGUACAGCAUUGUUGGAGGUGCUAACUUAUGAAUGAACCUACAUUUUUUUUAUUCAUUCAUGGGAUGAAGACAUCGCUGGGUAAGCCUACAUUUAUUACCCAUCCCAAGGACAAUUCAGAAUCAACCACACUGCUGUGGGUCUGGAGUUACAUGUAGGCCAAAACCACCAGCCCCCGGACCCCGACAAAGGACAUUAGUGAACCAAAUUGGUCUUUCCAAUAAUCAAUUCAUAGUCAUCAUCAGACUCUUACUUCCAGAUAUUUAUUGAAUUCAAAUUCUGCCAUCUGCUGUGGUGGGAUUCAAACUUGGGUCCCCAAAACUUUCUAGAGUCUCUGAAUUAACAAUCCAUCGAUAAUACCACUAGGUCUUUGCCUCCUCUUAAACUCCCUCAAUGACCAGAUAGAACUUUGCCUUAACUACCCUUUAGGUAGUAGCAGGGAGUUUUCCUGAUCUCUCAACGAAUCUUUCAGUUUCAAUUGAUGCAUCCAACAGAAUUCACAGGUCAUUUAUUUCUUUGUUGAUGUUGGAUUUACUGUGUAAAAAAUGACUGCCACAUUCACCAAUGAAAUUCAUUGUUUGUUAUGUAGGCCUGUUAUUGAGAGUGUCUUAAGAUGUCAGUGGAUAGCCUCAGUCAGGAUCUAAUUUUGAUGAUUCAGUGGUGUAUUUCUCAGUCAUAUUGCAAGACAACAGUGCUGCCCAUUUGAGUAUGGGCAAACAAUAUGCUAGGAUUCGAUAUGUUGGGAAUUCCAAGCAACUAUUUGAUUUUAUUCAGUCAUGGAUACAGGCAUCUCUGACUAUGCCAGCGUUUAUUGCCCAUCUCUAAUUGUUCAGAGGGCAGUUAAGGGUCAAGCACAUUGCUGUGGGUCUGAAGUCAAAUGUGGGCCACACCAGGAAGGUUAGCAGUUUCUUUCCCUAAAGGACAUUAGUGAACCAGGUGGUUUGUCCAACAAUCAUUAACAGUUUAAUUGUCAUCAUUAAACUCUUAAUUCCAGAUUCUUUAUUGAAUUCAAAUUCCACCAUCUGCCAUGAUUUGAACCCAGGUCCCCAGAACGUUAGCGAGUUCCUGGAUUGAUUGUCUGGCAAUAAUACCACUAGGCCAUCGCCUGCCAAAAUUAGGAGCAGAAUCUUAGAAAAGACCCUAUCCACUUUGCCCAGAUAAUAAAAUGUGAGGCUGGAUGAUCACAGCAGGCCAAGCAGCAUCUCAGGAGCACAAAAGCUGACGUUUCGGGCCUAGACCCUUCAUCAGAGAGGGGGAUGGGGAGAGGGAACUGGAAUAAAUAGGGAGAGAGGGGGAGGCGGA